GUCAUAAUUUGGCAUUAUUAGGAAGCAAUGGAGAUUUUCAGAAGUGGUACCUACUUGGAGGAAGCAGUUCACUGGGGGCAUGUCCUUGGUGGCUGUACCUUGUCCUGAGCCCUCCUCUGUCUCUGCUUUCUAGCUGCCUACUAUGAGGAAGGCCCAGUUGCUUCAGUGAUGGGGGACAAGGAUCAGGAUGGAGGAAAAGGCAGAGUGGCUGUUGUUCACCUCACCUCUGGGUACAACCACUGAUUUGGGAGUAGCUUGGAAUGCUACAGGAACAUUUCAAGCAAGAAUUGAAUUACAAGUGAAAUUUGGGAGAAAAGCCUGCACUGAGGUGUACAUUUGGGAUCAUCAGCAUAUAUGUGGCUGAUCCUGGGACUGGUUGAGGUCAACCAGAAAGAGUGUGGAUGGAGAAAAGAAGAGCUGAAGAUUGGACCCUGGCACCUUCCAGCAUUCAAAGAUCCAGAGCAUGAAGUAGAAGCUACAAAGCAGGCUGAGAGAGAAGCCAGUGAAGUGACCCAAUGAGUGAGCCCCAGGAUGUCCAGAGAACUUUCUCCAGUGGAGAGCUGAUCCAGUGGAGCCCUAUACUGCUGGAAGAAAGCAGACCAGCUGUGGCAACUGUAGAAUGGGUGCGGAGGGAAGUGAAGACUAGAUUUUAAAGGUGGCAACAGAUUGGUAAUAUACGAGCAUUAAAAAAAUUCAAAAGAUAAGCAGAAAAUUCAUCUAUAGGAAACAUGAUGCUCUACCUCACCACAGGCCAGAAAACAGUGGAGUGGAAUAAGAGUGGACUGACAACCUGGGAGCUGCAAACCGAAUAAAUCUUUGCCAAAUUAA